rnacentral:rRNA from 1 species
UAACCUACCCUCAGGAUGGAGAUAACCCCUGGGAAACUGGGACUAAUAUCCAAUAAAUGAUUAUGCCUGGAAUGGUUUAUCAUUGAAAGGGCUGAAUACAUGCUUUCAGUAUCACCUGAGGAUGGGACUGCGUCCGAUCAGGUUGUUGGUGGGGUAACGGCCCACCAAGCCUAUAACCGGUACGGGCCCUGAGAGGGGGAGCCCGGAGAUGGAAACUGAGACAAUGUUCCAGGCCCUACGGGGCGCAGCAGGCGCGAAACCUCCACAAUGCGCGAAAGCGUGAUGGGGUUAGCCCGAGUGCUGUCCGAAAAGGAUGGCUUUUCCUUGGCGUAAAAACCCGGGGGAAUAAAGGGGGGGCAAGACUGGUGUCAGCCGCCGCGGUAAUACCAGCCCCCUGAGUGGUAAGGACGAUUAUUUGGCUUAAAGCGUCCGUAGCCGGCUUAGUGAGUCUCUUGUUAAAUCCAAUGAUUCAAUCAUUGAACUGCAAGAGAUACUACUAUGCUAGAGGACGGGAGAGGUCGACGGUAGUCCAAGGGUAGGGGUGAAAUCCUAUAAUCCUUGGAGGACCACCAGUGGCGAAGGCGGUCGACUAGAACGUGCCUGACGGUGAGGGACGAAAGCUGGGGGAGCGAACCGGAUUAGAUACCCGGGUAGUCCCAGCUGUAAACGAUGCGGGCUAGGUGUAGGGGCAGCUACGAGCUGCUCCUGUGCCGCAGAGAAAUUGUUAAGCCCGCCGCCUGGGGAGUAC